AGCAGCCGCGGUAAUUCCAGCUCCAAUAGCGUAUAUUAAAAGUUGUUGCAGUUAAAAAGCUCGUAGUUGAAUUUCGGGAUCAAUAUGUUGGUCGUGCCUUGGUACGUACUGGCAUUAUCGAUUCCUACCUUCUGAAGAACCUCGAUGUCAUUAAUUUGGUGUCUUGGGGAAUCAGGACUGUUAACUUUGAAAAAUUGAGUGUUUAAAGCAAGCUAACGCUUGAAUACAUUAGCAUGGAAUAAUGAAAUAGGACGUUCGAUCCUAUUUUGUGGUUUCUAGGAUUGACGUAAUGAUUAAUAGGGAUAG
rnacentral:rRNA from 1 species